GACGAACGCUGGCGGCGUGCUUAACACAUGCAAGUCGAACGGUGAAGCGCCUUCCUUUUUGGUGGGUGUGGUUGAGUGGCGAACGGGGGAGUAACACGUGAGUAACCUGCCCCCUUCUUCUGGAUAACCGCAUGAAAGUUUGGCUAAUACGGGUAAUUCUGGUUCUGUCGCAGUAGGGGUUUGGGAGAGAGAUUGUUUCGGUGGGUGAUGUGCUCGCGGCCUAUCUUCUUGUUGGGGGGGUGAUGGCCUACACAGGCGGUGCCGUGUAGCCGGCCUGGGAGGGUGGGCGGCCACACGGGGGAGACGACGCGGCGACGACUCCUGGGGGAAGCAGCAGGGGGUAAUCUUGAACAGUGGGAGGAAGUAUGAUGCAGCGCCGCGGCGUGAGGGAUGGAGUUCUUUGGGUUGUGAACCUCUUUCGCGAGAGAAGGAGGCCUGAGUAGUUUGUGAGUGGGUUGACGGUAGCUGGAUAAGAAGCGCCGGCUAACUACGUG
rnacentral:rRNA from 1 species